CAAAUCUGUACCUUGACUAGUUUGUACUUUCAUAACCAGCCUGGGCUUUGAAUUAGUAGCCCAAUUUGUUUGGAAAUCCUCCAACCUGACAACCCUCUGCCCUGAAGCAGCUAAAGACCACCCAUAUAUUUAUUUUCCCCUGAAAUCCCUCCCUCUUAUUAUGGGACCACGCCCCCGACGUCACUCAUCUGUGUGGUACGUGCGCAUUGACACAGUCCUCAUGGCAAAACAAAGCUGAAGCACCGGCUCCGGCGUUACCAUUAAUGAGGAGGGGAGUAUUCAUAGAAUACUUACAUUCUGUUUCUUAAUUAACCCGUCUACCACUAACGGUGCUGUUUAAGUGGUAUUUUUAUUAUUAUCUUUAACUCCAGUUGCUUAAUCCAUCCCUAAAAUCCAGGAUAAUAGCUAAGCAACAGUCGACGUUUGCCGCAGUCCUCCCGUGGGUGGGGCAAAUAAUGGUACAUUCCACAAAGUAAGACGUGCAGAAAUGAACGCGCCUCAUCCCAGCCAGCUGCAGGAGCGUGGCCUUGGAAGGUUGGAUCCGCCCACGUCAACUCGGAUUGGCCCUUGAAUUCGAGCAGGCGUGGACGCCGUAGGGAAACUAUCAAUUCUAUUGGACGGUUGGGUGGAGUGUCUGAGGGCGGAUGAAGCCGAACUGGGUGACAGGUGGUGAGGGCAGUGCAGUUCCAGCCCAGCUGUAAGUUACAGUGUGUUUGCUGGGUCCUAACAAGGAAACUUUCCGCUGGAGCUGAGCCUUGUUUUACAUAUUAAAACUAAUAUUCCUAUUUGUACAGGUGAUUGGAUGUUACUUCUGGAAAAGAAGAAUAAACAUGUAGGUGGAAAAUUAUAAACGUGUACAACUUCCAUGCGCAAGAAGUCUACGUUAAUAAUCGGAUAGAUCAGGUCUCGGUACGGACAGACUCUCCAGAUGCAGGUGAGCCACUGACUAACGCACAUUGCGCUGCUGCUAAAAUGCCACUGUGCGUGUGACAGCGGCUAACCAGCAUCUAGGAAUACCGUCCAUUGAAUUGUGGCCUUUAUCUUCCCCCACAUCUUUUAAAAGCCUAUGAAGAAGUAGCCGUCCAAUCAGAUAACGUUGAUUUCAUCUCUCCACAAUGGCAAUCAAACAAGCAACGUGGGCCAGAGGAUCUCCCUAAUUGUUUGUGAGAGUGAGCUCUUCAGGUCGGGUUCUUUGAUUGGCCCAGUCCAAUACUGGUCUCAUUCCAUAAUGGUUGAAUUUCAAACAUCGUUUGUCUCCUCUGCAGGUGGUGAUGCUGCAGCCACAGCCGGGUGUUUGCCGCCCAAUAAAACCAGUGAAAUGUAAUAAAUAACUUCCAGUGACAAAGUGAUUCUGUUGUUUACCUGCAAUAAACUUUGAACUGC